rnacentral:rRNA from 1 species
UACAGAGGUCCCAAGCGUUGUUCGGAUUCAUUGGGCGUAAAGCGCGCGUAGGCGGCCUGGUAAGUCGGAUGUGAAAACCCGGGGCUCAACCCCGGGCCUGCAUCCGAAACUGCCCGGCUAGAGGUAGGUAGGGGAGAUCGGAAUUCCUGAUGUAGCGGUGAAAUGCGCAGAUAUCAGGAGGAACACCGGUGGCGAAGGCGGAUCUCUGGGCCUUACCUGGACGCUCAGGCGCGAAGGCCAGGGGAGCAAACGGG